rnacentral:rRNA from 1 species
UACGUAGGGCGCAAGCGUUAUCCGGAAUUAUUGGGCGUAAAGAGCUCGUAGGCGGUUUGUCGCGUCUGCUGUGAAAACCCGAGGCUCAACCUCGGGCCUGCAGUGGGUACGGGCAGACUAGAGUGCGGUAGGGGAGAUUGGAAUUCCUGGUGUAGCGGUGGAAUGCGCAGAUAUCAGGAGGAACACCGGUGGCGAAGGCGGGUCUCUGGGCCGAUACUGACGCUGAGGAGCGAAAGCGUGGGGAGCGAACAGG